rnacentral:rRNA from 1 species
UCGCACGAGAAAGGGUAGCAAUACCUGAGUACAGCGGCGCACGGGUGAGUAACACGUGAAUAAUCUACCUCCGAGUGGGGAAUAACUGAGAGAAAUCUUAGCUAAUACCGCAUAACACUUACGAGUCAAAGCAGCAAUGCGCUUGGAGAGGAGUUCGCGGCCGAUUAGUUAGUUGGCGGGGUAAUGGCCCACCAAGACGAUGAUCGGUAUCCGGCCUGAGAGGGCGCACGGACACACUGGAACUGAAACACGGUCCAGACUCCUACGGGAGGCAGCAGUGGGGAAUUUUGCGCAAUGGGGGAAACCCUGACGCAGCAACGCCGCGUGGAGGAUGAAAUAUCUUGGUAUGUAAACUCCUUUCGAUGGGGAAGAUUAUGACGGUACCCAUAGAAGAAGCCCCGGCUAACUUCGUGCCAGCAGCCGCGGUAAUACGAGGGGGGCAAGCGUUGUUCGGAUUUAUUGGGCGUAAAGGGUGCGUAGGCGGUUUGGCAAGUCUUAUGUGAAAUCUUCGGGCUCAACCCGAAGCCUGCAUAAGAAACUGCCGGGCUUGAGUAUGGGAGAGGUGAGUGGAAUUUCCGGUGUAGCGGUGAAAUGCGUAGAUAUCGGAAGGAACACCUGUGGCGAAAGCGGCUCACUGGACCAUAACUGACGCUGAUGCACGAAAGCUAGGGGAGCAAACAGGAUUAGAUACCCUGGUAGUCCUAGCCCUAAACGAUGAUUGCU